GAAACCUCUGAGCCUCAACUUCAUCCUGUCUGUUAGAUGGGAUGCUUGCAGUUCCAAUAAACAGAAAUGCCAACUCAAAAAAUCAAUUAAGCAGUAAGAUACAUUACAUCACACUCAGUGAUGUCUAAAAAAAAAAAGAAAGAAACAGCCUCCUCUUGGGAUUCUUAAGAUCACCCAGCGAACUUUCCUUUGUGUCUUGUUGUCCAGAACUUAGUAACCAAUACAUGGCUGAACUAAUCAGGAAUGGAGUUCCUCUUAGAUCUCUUGGGCCCAUCCCUGAAGUUAGAGGUGGGGACAGCUUCCCCUGAGACACAGAUUGCAAAGAAGAGAGGUGGAUUCCGGAAAAAACUGCAGUUCUUUUAGAAAGUUGGAGAGAAAAAUGGAGACCUUAUAGAUGACCAGCAGUAUCUACUAAGAAUACUAACCUCGUGGGCUUGAUACAAACAAUCUCCAUGGAGGGGUCAAGCCUUUGAGGACACAAUGCCCAGACUCAGCAUGAGAGUGCUUGUCAGUGAACCAUGCCCACUGAUCCCUAUUGGGUGCUGGAAAAGAUAGCAGAGGAAAAGCCAGCAUUAAGAAGCACAGCCAGCACACGGUCAAGCCAUCAUUCAUGACCACUGCUGGGUCUACCUAUUUCACAAACAGGAUUUCUGCUGACACCGGAAAAAUCCAUAGCAUGCUCACGGAUCUUCCUGUAGUCUCUCAAUCAUUUCUCAGAAUUAAUGGGGAAAAACCUUUUGAAUGUUUGCUAUAUAUAGGAACCAUGUGGAAAAAUUGGAAAUCAUCUAGAGAUAUUUAAAAGGAGACUCAGAUUUACAUACAAUGAUAUGUUUGAAGUUUGCUUUGAAAUACUAUAUUCUCCCUUACCCUCUUCCCCCACCAGAAAACCUGUGGAGUAACAAAAAUGGAAUAAAUACGAUUUGCCAUGAUGUAAUAAUCACCUGAUGAGUUCUUCCUGCCCAC
rnacentral:lncRNA from 1 species